UCAAAAACUCUCUUUUCUCAAAACCCCGCGAAUGCCUCUUUUCUCAAAACCCCGCGAAUGCCUCUUUUCUCAAAACCCUAUUUUCUCAAAAGCAGCCCUCUUGGACAAACGGAGAAAGGGUAACAAUCAAAACAGGCCACCGUCUUGACUGUUUCGAAAUUGGUUUACAGAUCGUCCUUUGAUCGAAUUCAAGCUCAAAAUUCUGAAAUCUCGUCUAUCAGUCUCAGUUUGUUCUGUUACGAUUUUUUUUCGGGUUCAUCAGUUUCGUCACUGGUUCGGGGGAUUUGGGGGUUCUGUUCAUCUCAACCAGUUCAUCGCGAUCAGUUUUUGGCUUCGAUUCCUUUUUCGACAUCGUGUUUGGAGUUGGAUUCGCUGUUGAGGUUUUCCGGUUGGCUCGCAAUACCUCACGUUUUUGAUUGCUUGCUUGUGGGUUCUAGCUAAUUUGGCUUCUGGCAGGACCAUUAGUGGCUUUCUUGGUAAUUUCAGCUUCAAUCCACUAUGGGAUUUGAUGAAAGCCAGCAGACUGAUCCAUUGGUUGUGAUACGCAAUGGAAAGAGAUCAUAUUGCAGGCCUUUAACUGGGAAUCUCAAAAAUAUGACUGGUGGAGAAAUUUAGAUGGUAAAGGCCUUUAUUCUCUUAAUUCUUCAUAUGGUUCUGAGCAUCUCUUAAAAUCUUUGCUUAGUAAGAUGAAGCACUAUAAAGUUAGAGGGAUGGCAGACAUAGUCAUUAACCAUCGUGUUGGAACUACCAAAGGGCACGGUGGAAUGUACAACCGCUAUGAUGGAAUUCCUUUUUCUUGGGAUGAACAUGCUGUUACAUCUUGCACUGGUGGAUUGGUAGAGUUUGCCCCUUCACUGGCAAGAAGUCUAGCAGCCAAGUGAUGUCUCUAGUGGACCUCUUUUGGAUGUGAAUGGAAGAUCUUCUGGUGAUAGUUAUUCUAGCGAUGGUCAUUGAAAUUUGUAAUCGUAUUAGUAACUAUGACAAUAUUAUUGAAUCGCUGUUGGAGCAGUAUUUUGUGUUUAAAUUAGUUUUUAAGACUAAUGACAAUAUUUUUGUGGUACGUUUUUAUGAUCUAAUAUUUUUUUGAUUUUUAUUGUUA